GACGAACGCUGGCGGCGUGCCUAAUACAUGCAAGUAGAACGCACAGUUUAUACCGUAGCUUGCUACACCAUAGACUGUGAGUUGCGAACGGGUGAGUAACGCGUAGGUAACCUGCCUGGUAGCGGGGGAUAACUAUUGGAAACGAUAGCUAAUACCGCAUAAUAUUGAUUAUUGCAUGAUAAUUGAUUGAAAGAUGCUAUUGCAUCACUACCAGAUGGACCUGCGUUGUAUUAGCUAGUAGGUGAGGUAACGGCUCACCUAGGCGACGAUACAUAGCCGACCUGAGAGGGUGAUCGGCCACACUGGGACUGAGACACGGCCCAGACUCCUACGGGAGGCAGCAGUAGGGAAUCUUCGGCAAUGGACGAAAGUCUGACCGAGCAACGCCGCGUGAGUGAAGAAGGUUUUCGGAUCGUAAAGCUCUGUUGUAAGAGAAGAACGGGUGUGAGAGUGGAAAGUUCGCACUGUGACGGUAUCUUACCAGAAAGGGACGGCUAACUACGUG
rnacentral:rRNA from 1 species